rnacentral:lncRNA from 1 species
ACGAGCUUAAACUGAUUCAAUUCUGGCGAUUCAAAACAGUUUAUACAAACAUGAGAUUAUGUGUUCUACUACUCAUAUGGAUCUAAAAUGAUGCACAAAUCAUUUAUCAACCUAUAAUGAAACUAAUUGCCACUAAUGUUCUACUCACAGUAAUCAUAUAAAUCUGGUGCAUACAAUCCAAUUCAGUUCAAUCUAUACAGUCCAUCAGUUAAUGUAGUCCAGUGUUUACACAAAUCUAUUACUACUAUUUUUCAUCUAAUAUUCGACAAUAAAUAACAAAUUGACAUCAAAUUGGCAGGACCCAGAUUGUAUUUUUACAAUUAACCAGUACACCUGGACUCAUUCCUUCAUAAAUCAACUGGAGUUGGAAAAAUACCUGGAAAAGAAAAAAUAGGAGAGGGACAAAGGAAUCAGUGAUGAGCAACAACAGGAACACAACCAGCCAGGAAAGAUGCAAUAUCAAACAGCAAGAAUGUAAAUCAGCAGCAACCACACGGCCCAGAUUUAGUGAAUGAAACCAGGAAACUCACUCAAAACCCAAUAAAACAGUAGAUUUAACAGUUUGAAACCCAGUUCAUCACUCUUAAUCUCAAAAAUCUCUGUUUUUCCUCCCAGUAUCUUUUCAAGAGUUUUCAAGCUCCAGAAAACUCUCAGAAUGCUAUGUAAUCUCUAUCUCCCUGUUCAAAUCUCCUACUCUCAAAACUCCCAAGAAAUCUAUCUCAAAGUUCUCCCAAUGCCCUUAAGGAACUGAUUGCAAUCUCUAAAACUCUGAAUCCCCACUCAAUGGAACAGUAGGACCAAGUGUAUAUGUCUGUAUUCUCAGUCUAUUUUUCAGUCUCAAAAACUGAUUUUAAGCUCUCAAAAGCUAACCUCUAAGACUGCCUCUCUAACUGAUUGCAAUCAGACUCUAUCUUUUAUACCCAACACCAGACCCUCCCUUCAGCUCUUAGGAGCACUUCAAACAUUAAUAAAGCCUCCCCCAAUCAUAUUCCCUGAACUCCCCGACUACUAUAUGUCCCAUUUCAUUAUUUAAUUCAAAGGUUAUGGGUAGCACAUUUUUAAUCAACUUCCCCUUUAAACCCAUGUUACUUCUGACCUCCCAUCAGUAAAGGCAUUAAACCAUCAUUUCUCUUUUCCCAAUUAAAAUCCCAUCAGCAAUAACCAAUAAACAAGACUACCAAUUAACUAAUUACACAUGAAAAUAAAUCCUAAUCAACACUAGCACACCAAAACUAAAUUUAAACCCAGAUCAGAUUCAUAUUAGACCCUAAACAGAACAAUAUUAGGAUUCAACUCGUCAAACUCAAUCCACAGUUUAAGCUCGAACUCAAAUUAGAUCAAAUAGCAUCAAAACAAAGACAAAAGAUUCAAUGAUUCAGUUUAAAGGGUCCAAAUGACCAAUUCAAAUCUAACCAGUUUAUUUAUUCGAAAUCAAACUAAGUAUUCUAAAGAUUAACUAAUUCAAGUCUGAUAUUUUUAUCAAAAAAUCAGAAAACAAAUAACACUAAAAAGUUCCGUAAUUAAAAGCUAUUUCUAACAUUUAACUAUCAAUAUUCAUAGAAUUAAAUCAAGCAUAAUUAACAAACUCACUAAGAGCUAAUUCAUGUCCCACAGUCGAACUCUAAUCACAGAAAAGAAGAAGGGGAAGAAAAGACUUGCACAGACGAAAAAGAAAAACAAAAAUUUUGAAAAUAACACAAAGACUUACCUGCUGAACUGGAAAAUCAAACUUAGUGCCCUGACUUGAAUUCGAACUCCCAUUUCGAUUUUGAGAUUGACAUGAACCUUAAUCAAAUUUUCUCUACUGAGAACAUACGACUAAAGUUGAUUACGACCUCAAAUUUUUAAAAUUUUAAUAAUCCUGGAGCUAGGGUUCGUCCCUUCGAUCUAAAAUUUGAGGGGCUCUAUAAAGAUUCGACGGAAACUAGCGGUUGUUAAAGGAUGAGGGAGGCCUACGAUCAAAUGGUGUUGAUUUGGGUUCACGGGGAGGCGGCUAGGGUUUUGGUCCAAUCUUUGAUCUAAGAUUUGAAAUAACGUAGGACGAUUCGAGGGAGAUGGUUAGAGGGGUUAGGUUGGUGAGGUUGAGGGGAAUCUGGGGUGUGAAUUUGGUGGUCAUUGGAGUACCGCCGCCGGGUUUUGGGCGGUGGAACAGGCCUUCGGCUGCUAGGGUUUGGGUAGGUAAUUGUUUGGGGUCUGUAAUCUUUGGAGACGAAGAGGGAAAAUGGGAGGUUUGGCU